UGGCGGCGUGGAUAAGACAUGCAAGUCGAACGGAACACCAUGAGUAGCAAUACGAGUGGUGUUUAGUGGCGAACGGGUGCGUAACACGUGGAUACAUUCCGGGAAGCGGGGGAUAGCCCAGGGAAACUUGGAUUAAUACCGCAUGUGGUCGAAAGACUAAAGACGGGGACCGCAAGGCCUGUCACUUCCCGAUUGGUCCGCGGCCUAUCAGCUAGUUGGCGGGGUAAAAGCCCACCAAGGCUACGACGGGUAGCUGGUCUUAGAGGACGACCAGCCACACUGGAACUGAGACACGGUCCAGACACCUACGGGUGGCAGCAGUCGAGAAUCUUUCACAAUGGGGGCAACCCUGAUGGAGCGACGCCGCGUGGAGGAUAAGGUCUUCGGAUUGUAAACUCCUGUCAUGCGCGGACAAGGUUGCAGGGUUAAUAACUCUGCAAAUUGAUGGUACCGCAAGAGGAAGAGACGGCUAACUCUGUGCCAGUAGCCGCGGUAAUACAGAGGUCUCAAGCGUUGUUCGGAAUCACUGGGCGUAAAGGGUGCGUAGGUGGCUUGGUAAGUCAGAUGUGAAAGCCCGGGGCUCAACUCCGGAAUUGCAUCCGAUACUGCCGAGCUAGAGUACUGAAGGGGAAACUAGAAUUCUCGGUGUAGCAGUGAAAUGCGUAGAUAUCGAGAGGAAUACCAAAGGCGAAGGCAGGUUUCUUGGCAGUUACUGACACUGAGGCACGAAGGCCAGGGGAGCAAACGGGAUUAGAUACCCCGGUAGUCCUGGCAGUAAACGGUGCACACUUGGUGUGGGGGAAUUCGACCUCUUCCGCGCCGGAGCUAACGCGUUAAGUGUGCCGCCUGGGAAGUACGGUCGCAAGAUUA
rnacentral:rRNA from 1 species